rnacentral:rRNA from 1 species
UACGUAGGGUGCGAGCGUUGUCCGGAAUUACUGGGCGUAAAGAGCUCGUAGGUGGUUUGUCGCGUUGUCCGUGAAAACUCACAACUCAAUUGUGGGCGUGCGGGCGAUACGGGCAGACUGGAGUACUGCAGGGGAGACUGGAAUUCCUGGUGUAGCGGUGGAAUGCGCAGAUAUCAGGAGGAACACCGGUGGCGAAGGCAGCUCGCUGGGACGGUACUGACGCUGAGACGCGAAAGCGUGGGGAGCGAACAGG